AGUGAACGCUGGCGGUAGGCCUAACACAUGCAAGUCGAACGGCAGCACAGUAAGAGCUUGCUCUUACGGGUGGCGAGUGGCGGACGGGUGAGGAAUACAUCGGAAUCUACUUUUUCGUGGGGGAUAAUGUAGGGAAACUUACGCUAAUACCGCAUACGGCCUACGGGUGAAAGCAGGGGAUCUUCGGACCUUGCGCGAUUGAAUGAGCCGAUGUCGGAUUAGCUAGUUGGCGGGGUAAAGGCCCACCAAGGCGACGAUCCGUAGCUGGUCUGAGAGGAUGAUCAGCCACACUGGAACUGAGACACGGUCCAGACUCCUACGGGAGGCAGCAGUGGGGAAUAUUGGACAAUGGGCGCAAGCCUGAUCCAGCCAUACCGCGUGGGUGAAGAAGGCCUUCGGGUUGUAAAGCCCUUUUGUUGGGAAAGAAAAGCAGCAGGUUAAUACCCCGCUGUUCUGACGGUACCCAAAGAAUAAGCACCGGCUAACUUCGUG
rnacentral:rRNA from 1 species